rnacentral:rRNA from 1 species
CCUACGGGUGGCAGCAGUGGGGAAUAUUGGGCAAUGGGCGCAAGCCUGACCCAGCAACGCCGCGUGAAGGAAGAAGGCUUUCGGGUUGUAAACUUCUUUUGACAGGGAAGAGCAGAAGACGGUACCUGUCGAAUAAGCCACGGCUAACUACGGGCCAGCAGCCGCGGUAAUACGUAGGUGGCAAGCGUUGUCCGGAUUUACGGGGUGUAAAGGGCGGGUAGACGGGCUGACAAGUCAGAUGUGAAAUCCGGGGGCGCAACCCCCGAACGGCAUUUGAAACUGUUGGUCUUGAGUAUCGGAGAGGCAGGCGGAAUUCCUCUUGUCGCGGUGAAAUGCGUAGAUAUUAGGAGGCACACCAGUGGCGAAGGCGGCCUGCUGGACGACAACUGACGGUGAGGCGCGAAAGCGUGGGGAGCAAACAGGAUUAGAUACCCUGGUAGUC